GGGCCUGUAGCUCAGUUGGGAGAGCGUACGGUUCGCAUCCGUAAGGUCGUGGGUUCGAAUGCCUUCAGGUCCACCA
rnacentral:tRNA from 1 species